ensembl:lncRNA
AAACGGUACUGUAAAAGCACUUUUUUGUGAUCUUUUCUCAGAGGGCUGCACCCCGGAAACCCAAAUCCAGUCCAGAGCUCCAGUCUGGGAGGAGACAGACCUAACGAGCCAGUUAUUCCUCUCCCACCGCAGAUUGGAAGUCCUCAAAGACUGCAAAGCAGAAUUAGGACAGCGUUGAACACCGCAGAGAGAUACAGAACAGCACUCGGUAACAAACGCGUGGGUGAGUUUAUGUGUUUAUUACUGAUUAAUCUGCUUCAUUUCUCAGAUUCGUUGUUCAGUUUAGUUUAGGUUAAAUAAAGGUUCUUUAUCAGUCCCACAACAGGAGACUUCAUUCACAGUGCUACAGAAGCAGAGGAAACGAAAAGAAGGAACAAGAAGAGAAUUAAUAAGCAAGUAAUUAACCUCGUUAAUCAAUUAACAGGCUUUUACAGGCUGCAUGAUUUUGGCAAAAUAUCUGUGAUUUAAAUUGUGAAUGUUUACUACAAACUGAUGCACGGGCCUUUUUUUAAACUAAGAAGACCAGCGUGUGCGUUUUUGUGUUGAAGCUUGAGCACUUAAAGCAGAUCACCCUCCCGCCAGUUAUUUGCGGUUGUGAUGUCACAGCUCGUCACUUGUGAUUCGUCGAAUUCAUUUAAAAGCAGUUCACAAGCUCCGUGUGAUUAAACCUCCCGACUUAAAACUCGCAACGGAUUAACAUUCACACUUCCUUAAGGGUUCUUUAGUAAAGAAAGUGGUUCUGUAUGGAACUAUGAACGCUCAAAAAACCCUUGGCCUGAUUAAAUGUUUUUCUCCAUUGUGAAACGGUUCUGUGUAGCACCCAAAAGGGUUCUGCUAUUGUUACUAGCUUGACAACGUAACAAUGGAAGCACCCUUUUGGGUGCUACACAGAACCGUUUUCUAAAAGGUUCUUUGUAGAACCAUCUACAGCACAUUCUCUGUCAGCUUCAAAAACGCUUUGACGAUGCCAGGAGCCAUGUAAUCUAAUCCUCGAGGUGUUCAUGGUUCUAUACAGAUCCAUUUUCCUUGGAACCCUUGGAGAACCAUCUUUUUUUUAAGACUGGAGUUGGAAACAGACCAUAAGACUAUGAUGGAAAUUGCAGCACUUGCGAUUUGAAAACUCUUUAACGUUGAGAUUUCGAUAUAAAAACGAUUCAUUUUUCAGCCCUUCUUGUUACUAUAUAGACUAUAUAUAGAAUACUGAAUGGAAAAAAUAAGAAAAAUAUAAGAUAAAAUAUGAAAAAUGAACAAGAUGAAGAAUUAUAAGUCAGUAGAAGUGUCUUCCUACAAUAUUUAUAAAAGCCUCCACCGUCACUUUACAGCACAGGCCGUGCGUCACUAAUUCUGUCUGUCAUUUGACACCUGCCCGUAAUGUGCCCCCUGCACACAACCGGCUUCUGACAGCUCGUUGCCUGGACGACACCAUGCAAAGAUAAAGAAGAGCGACGCCCUGCUUGUACCUUGUAUCCUCCUCAAUAAUUAAACCACCACUUCCUUGUUUCGGCCACACAAUGGAACCGAAUGAGGCGACUCUCCCACCAGCGCUCAAAUGAUAAACAUAUUAGGAGCGGGUUUAUUUGUCUUUGUCAGGAC